rnacentral:lncRNA from 1 species
UCGUGAGUAGUUCACUUCAGACCUACGGGUCCGUAGUUAGUAGUUAGAUGGCUUCUUCUCUCUCUUGGAUCUUCAAUACAAAGUUCUCCAUGAUCUUCAUGGAGAUCUAUCCGAUGUAAUCUUCUUUGGCGGUGUGUUUGUCGAGAUCCGAUGAAUUGUGGAUUUGUGAUCAGAUUAUCUAUGAUAUAUAUUUGAGUCUUUGCUGAUUUCUUAUAUGCAUGAUUUGAUAUCCUUGUAAGUCUCUCCGAGUCUUGGGUUUUGUUUGGCCAACUAGAU